rnacentral:rRNA from 1 species
UACGUAGGAGGCGAGCGUUAUCCGGAAUUAUUGGGCGUAAAGAGCGUGUAGGCGGUCUUACAAGUUGGAUGUGAAAUCUCCUGGCUUAACUGGGAGGGGUCAUCCAAUACUGUUGGGCUAGAGUAUAACAGAGGGAGACGGAAUUCCCGGUGGAGUGGUGAAAUGCUUAGAUAUCGGGAGGAACACCAGUGGCGAAGGCGGUCUCCUGGGUUAUUACUGACGCUAAGACGCAAAAGCGUGGGGAGCAAACAGG